ensembl:lncRNA
AUGAAGAGGAACAUUGAAAUCUGCUCCAUGGUUCUCUCAAGUAGGAGCUAGGUUGUAUUCCACUCGCUAACUGUUGGAGCCCUCCCAUUCUACCCUUGGUGUCUCUCUUUGGGGAGUCCCUGUCACGGUCCUGAAGGAUGUUCCAGUUUGUGUAACUGAUGUUACGACAGCCUUUGAACACUUGGUUUCUUUUGAGGGGGUACGUCUACAGAACUGUGGUCUUCAGACGACAUAUUAUCCUACCAUGCAUCUCUGGUCACCAAGACCACACCCAGAUCAGUAAGGCAACAAUCAUGCAAUGUGAAUGCAACGUUUGGAGAGUAGCAAGGAAGUGGACAAAAGGUGUAAGCAUCUCAAGUCUGUAGCUCUGUUAAGGGGAGGGGAGAUUAAUGGUUUAUUUUAGCAUGUUGUUUCUCUAAGAAAUACACUUUAUACCUGUAAAUAUCUAGAUAAUUUACAAAAGUGGUCUGAGAUAAGGGAUGUCAGUUAAAGAUAUUCGGGUUAACUGUGGUUACCAAACAUGAUGGUUAUACGUUUAUUGUACAGUUCUAAGCCUUGUUUAUUGUUAGUCAAUUUGUUAGAUGGGGGGAACUGUGUAGUUAAAAUUACUAGUUCUGUACAUAAACCAACAGCAACAAACUACUAGAUCGACUCAAGGUAAGUCUGUUGGCUGUAUUGUGAGAUGAGACGAUGGACCCCAAGUUCUUCAUCCUCGUUCAGCUCAAGGUGAGGUGCUGGUUACGUUACUUAUUUCUGGUUAGGUUUUAGUGUUGGUAUUCCAGUUGGAAUAUCAUUCAUCACUAAUGACUUUACACUAUUGGGUCAUCUGGCAGUACGAGUAGGAUUGGUAUUUGCGUAACCUCAUCACUAACGAGGGUACCCUAUUGGGUCAUCUGGCAGUACGAUCAGGAUUGGCAUUUGCGUAACCUCAUCACUAAUGUGUUUACACUAUCGAGUACUGGCAGUACCCGAUUUCCACCGGUAACCAUCUGGCAAAUUUUUCUUGUGCUUUAGGUAAGACAUAAUUCUAAAACAUAACAUUAGUUGCUGAAUGGUUGUGCGUUUAUCUCCAAAUUUUACCUACGACUUGGCUAACUGCGCUGUACAUAAGUCAACUGACUCUCACUGCGUACCGAACUCCAUUCUUGCGCGCACAUUUUUGAGUCGCGAAUAAGAUCGGAGACAAUUUGGCAUUUUCAUACUACGGAGUACGAUCGUCCCAGCAGCUGAAUGUGGCAAAGUAUAAUUUUAUUAUUAAAUUAACUAUUGAUACUGCUAGUGAGGUAAAUAUCUGGGCUGUAAGUUUCAGUUAAACUCUACCAAAAUGCAUGGAAUUACUUUUUUAUUUUUGUGGUGAAUAGUUGGUUAACCUUAUGAAAUUAAUCAGCAGCUAAAAUCAUGGAACCAUGUCCCACAUGCUUAUACAGUAAUAUGGACUAGAUAACUGUACAGAGCUGAACUUGUAACUGUAGUUUGUGUCCCCAGGUGUCUGCCUCCACACCUCCCUGCUGUCACCACUGGUCUAAGAAGUCCAUAACGGUUAGUGUGGGAGGCGCAGCUCCAGUACUUGCUUUCUUGAACCUGUGUGAUGCACAAGAUGUUGAUCCAACCGCACAGUGAGCUCUGCAGGGUGGUGAGGACGGCUGGAGACGUGGAGGGCGGGGAGCCAGGCUCACCAGUAAUAGGACCCGUGGUGGAGGGCAGCUAGUGGGGAGCAGUGCUGGAGGACCUGCUGGGAAGGACAUCCCUCGUUGGGGUAAAGACACCCGUCUCUGAGAUGUGAAGGCUGCAGAGGACCCACCAGGAUCCCCUUGGAGGACAACCAUUGGACUACGUGAGGUCUUUGGAAGCACUACAGUUCAGAAUGCCUUCCAAAGAAUGAAGCCCACCCCCAUGGCUCAGCUAGUGGCGUUCACCGGACCAGGAACCCCAAGACCUGAAGGAGGAGCCGUGCAUCUGGAGGAACACCAUGAGGCUACCCGCCAAGUAUUACUCUGAGCUCUGCAGGGUGGUCAGGACGGCUGGAGACGUGGAGGACGGGGCGGGGAGCCAGGCUCACCAGUGAUCUCCUGGGCGAGGCGUGGGGCGCCAGGAGGGACCGAGGCCGACCACCAAGCUGUUCUGAAACGCUGAAGGACCCGUGGUGGAGGGCAGCUAGUGGGGAGCAGUGCUGGAGGACCUGCUGGGAAGGACAUCCCUCGUAGGGGUAAAGACACCCGUCUCUGAGAUGUGAAGGCUGCAGAGGACCCACCAGGAUCCCCUUGGAGGACAACAAAUGGACUACGUGAGGUCUUUGGAAGCACUACAGUUCAGAAGGCCUUCCAAAGAAUGAAGCCCAGCCCCCAUGGCUCAGCUAGUGGCGUUCAGCGGACCAGGAACCCUGAGACCUGAAGGAGGAGCCGUGCAUCUGGAGGAACACCAUGAGGCUACCUGCCAAGUAUUACUCACUUCCACGAGGAGGGGGGCUGGCGGCUGGAGGACCUCCCUACUGGUGGGGCGAGUGACACCCGGCUCUACAGGGAUGACCACGGAGGAGAGAGAGCUGAAGCUGUGCAUCCUGAAGGGGAAUCUGCUACUGAUGGCGCGGUUGAAGUGCUGUGUUCAGUCUGGGAAGGACACACCUGAGCUGUUUCACCCUGAGCUGCUUCACACCUGCAUCUCUAACCAGCUGAAGCCCUUCAGUGACCAACAAAAGGUGCCUCAUCACAGCUUAUCAUCGCUGGCCUGAGGAUUCAUCCCCUACACUCACACAACGUGACUUUGUCACCAUCUGCUGCACGUUGGGAUGCUAACGUGUUCCACCAGGGGUUCCUUCCUUCCCGCAGUGGGAGUGUUCCUUGUCCUUCAAGGAGUUAGGGUUCAGUGUUAGGGACAGAGUUAGGGAGAGAUGGUUGAGUCCUGGCUGGUUUACGAUGAACUGCUCUAACGCUUUGCCAAAAUGUUUCAAUGUGCAAACACUCACAAACACAUACAAUGUAUAAUAAGUGUUUAUGAAAUAAAUUCUGUUAUAAUUCUGCAUGUUUGUGUAGGGGUUUUAUUACCAUUAAACAAUUUUCUCUCACCGCAACCUCCCCACUGCUCUCACCUUAACGUCACCUUAACGUCCCC